CUGCAGUCGAGCGCGGGAAGCAGGCAGAUCCUCUUCGGAGGUGACGCUUGUGGAACGAGCGGCGGACGGGUGAGUAACACGUGGGCAACCUGCCUGUAAGAUUGGGAUAACCCCGGGAAACCGGGGCUAAUACCGGAUAAUACUUUUCGUUGCAUAACGAGAAGUUGAAAGGCGGCUUUUAGCUGUCACUUACAGAUGGGCCCGCGGCGCAUUAGCUAGUUGGUAAGGUAACGGCUUACCAAGGCGACGAUGCGUAGCCGACCUGAGAGGGUGAUCGGCCACACUGGGACUGAGACACGGCCCAGACUCCUACGGGAGGCAGCAGUAGGGAAUCUUCCGCAAUGGACGAAAGUCUGACGGAGCAACGCCGCGUGAGUGAUGAAGGUUUUCGGAUCGUAAAACUCUGUUGUCAGGGAAGAACAAGUGCCGUUCAAAUAGGGCGGCACCUUGACGGUACCUGACCAGAAAGCCCCGGCUAACUACGUGCCAGCAGCCGCGGUAAUACGUAGGGGGCAAGCGUUGUCCGGAAUUAUUGGGCGUAAAGCGCGCGCAGGCGGUCCUUUAAGUCUGAUGUGAAAGCCCACGGCUUAACCGUGGAGGGCCAUUGGAAACUGGAGGACUUGAGUACAGAAGAGGAGAGUGGAAUUCCACGUGUAGCGGUGAAAUGCGUAGAGAUGUGGAGGAACACCAGUGGCGAAGGCGACUCUCUGGUCUGUAACUGACGCUGAGGUGCGAAAGCGUGGGGAGCGAACAGGAUUAGAUACCCUGGUAGUCCACGCCGUAAACGAUGAGUGCUAGGUGUUAAGGGGGUUUCCGCCCCUUAGUGCUGAAGUUAACGCAUUAAGCACUCCGCCUGGGGAGUACGGCCGCAAGGCUGAAACUCAAAAGAAUUGACGGGGGCC
rnacentral:rRNA from 1 species